UCCUACGGGGGGCAGCAGUAGGGAAUAUUGCUCAAUGGGGGAAACCCUGAAGCAGCAACGCCGCGUGGAGGAUGAAGGUUUUCGGAUUGUAAACUCCUUUUGUUAGAGAAGAUAAUGACGGUAUCUAACGAAUAAGCACCGGCUAACUCCGUGCCAGCAGCCGCGGUAAUACGGAGGGUGCAAGCGUUACUCGGAAUCACUGGGCGUAAAGAGCGCGUAGGCGGGAUAGCAAGUCAGAUGUGAAAUCCUAUGGCUUAAACAUAGAACUGCGUUUGAAAAUGUUAUUAUAGAGUAUGGGAGAGGUA
rnacentral:rRNA from 1 species